GACGAACGCUGGCGGCGUGCUUAACACAUGCAAGUCGAACGAAGAGCGAUGGAAGCUUGCUUCUAUCAAUCUUAGUGACGAACGGGUGAGUAACGCGUAAUCAACCUGCCCUUCAGAGGGGGACAACAGUUGGAAACGACUGCUAAUACCGCAUACGAUCUAAUCUCGGCAUCGAGGAUAGAUGAAAGGUGGCCUCUACAUGUAAGCUAUCACUGAAGGAGGGGAUUGCGUCUGAUUAGCUAGUUGGAGGGGUAACGGCCCACCAAGGCGAUGAUCAGUAGCCGGUCUGAGAGGAUGAACGGCCACAUUGGGACUGAGACACGGCCCAGACUCCUACGGGAGGCAGCAGUGGGGAAUCUUCCGCAAUGGACGAAAGUCUGACGGAGCAACGCCGCGUGAGCGAUGACGGCCUUCGGGUUGUAAAGCUCUGUUAAUCGGGACGAAAGGCCUCCUUGCGAAUAGUGAGAAGGAUUGACGGUACCGGAAUAGAAAGCCACGGCUAACUACGUG
rnacentral:rRNA from 1 species